UGAGGAACAUGACCUUCGGCGGGGGAUAGCCGGCCCAACGGCCGGGUAAUACCGCGUACGACCACAUGGGGACAUCCCUGAGUGGUGAAAGCAGCAAUGCGCCGAUGGAGCGCCUCGCGGCCUAUCAGCUAGUUGGUGAGGUAACGGCUCACCAAGGCGACGACGGGUAGCUGGUCUGAGAGGAUGGCCAGCCACAUUGGGACUGAGACACGGCCCAGACCUCUACGGGAGG
rnacentral:rRNA from 1 species